GUGGCAUCUCACGAUUCAGGUGAGGUCAUUGAAGGUAACAAACGUGUAUUUGUUGUGCUACUCAAGGGGAAGUGUCGAGGCUCCAGUCCAGACUGAAUGCCAGUGAAAGUUCUGUGGAGAACGUCAAGAGGAAGACAUCAGGUGAGUCGAAUCAUCCCUUUGACUGGACCUCCACGAAUGGGUGGCCAACCACAAUGACCUCCGCUGACUGGUUGCUAACCACGACAAACGCUAUCCAGCCCUGGCCGGCGAGCUCCCCUUCCUGAGGACGAGGCUGAGGGCCAGCGAGAGCGCCUUGGAGCAGCUCAAAAGGAAGAGCUCAGUUCUAGCGUCUCGACUUUGCCUGGUGGAAAAUGUGAGGAAGAGGAGCUCAGUGGAGGACGCUGAAGUGCAAGGCCAUCACAACUCCAGCCGGGGUCACACGACGGCUUUGGUCGCAGACAGGGAUGGUCAACGGCGGGAGGCGGAGUCCCGCGUGGACACAGGUGGGAUUCGUGGUUCGAAUUGACGAGCUUUGUCCAGUUGCACAAUGUUAGUCUCCUUACACCAUGUCAGUCGAGUU